rnacentral:rRNA from 1 species
GGUCCUACGGGGGGCAGCAGUGAGGAAUAUUGGUCAAUGGGAGAGAUCCUGAACCAGCCAAGCCGCGUGAGGGAAGACGGCCCUAUGGGUUGUAAACCUCUUUUGUCGGAGAACAAAACCCGGGACGUGUCCCGGACUGCGUGUAUCCGAAGAAAAAGCAUCGGCUAACUCCGUGCCAGCAGCCGCGGUAAUACGUAGGUGGCGAGCGUUAUCCGGAAUGAUUGGGCGUAAAGGGGGCGUAGGCGGCCUG